rnacentral:sRNA from 1 species
AAUUUCAAUUUUAAAACAACAAACAAAAGGACCUUAGUUGUAUGAAAUCAAUAACACUACCGCUUACUCGAAUUAAGCAAAGUAUAUUAUAUUAUUGGCUCUUCUUAUUAUAUUUUGUUUAUAGUUUUAAAAGUAUGGGUAUGAGAGAACCAAUGAGCGAGAUAAAAAAAAAUGAAUCAAUGCUUGAGGGUUUGAUGCAUUUCAUGUCAACAUCCAUGACUCAGCAAUUAUUGUUUUAAUUCUAAUAAGUGAGGAUGUUACAUUAAUUCUAAUACCUACAUAUCCAUAUGCAAUUACAUUCUUUUUAUUAAAAAUGACAAUGCUUGAGCGUCAUCACCACCAAUUAGUGUCAACUCCUUGAUUUUGAAGCCAAAUAACAAAACUCCAUACCUCAAGCACCGGUUUUGUCUAAUAUUAGUCGAAACAUCAAUUCUUCAUUCCUUCCAUUGAUAUUGACCACGGUGUAAUGAAAUGGGAUUGGACCACUUUCGUUUAAUCUCAUCACGACCGGUCACUAUGAAAUGCCACCAUUUGUUACAUUUGAAAAUCUGGGUUUGCAAUUGUGAUACAAGAAUAUCAUCAUCUAAAUAAAGAGCAACAAAAUCAUCUUCAUAUAUUAUUGAUAUAUUUUUCAUUGAUCCGGAGAUGAAUCGAAAGAGAGGUAUAAUUCCAUCCGUAGAUAAUCCUAAUCCUUCAAGUGAAACUUCCAUACCAUGGGGCAUUGGGACAGUCACCAGUUGAUAAUCGGAAGUUUCGCCGGCAGAGUAAGAACUCACUGGAAACAUAGACUCUACAAAUAAAAAUAUCACAAUCGUACUGAAUUGACAUUAGGACAGUGGAGAACCAUUUUUCAUUCUUCUCCCAAAAUCCAUUAAAUAGAAUCAUUGGUGACACGACUUCAACUAUUCUCUCGGAGGUAAGACCGAAUCGGUGAAGGAUCCAUCAUAGAAGCAUCAACCGGAGAAAAGAGGUUUGAUAGAAACCAAAAAUCUGUAAAUCCAUCAAAAGUUUCCUCAAUUGAGAAUUUAUUUGGAAAAUCUAAUCAAACAAACAAUAACGGGAGUACGGUCGACAUCAGAGUCGACGCUGACCGAAAAAAAGCAUAGAAAGUUGCUUUCACAAGGGGUCGCCUUUUGUCUCUUCUCUUGUAAAUGACUUUAUUAGUUUAAUGGGAGAUGAGUACAUGUGCUAAAAUUCUAAAAAUAAACCAUAAGUAUAAGUUUGCAGUAUCACAUCAAACGAUGUAAGCCCCUUCAUGACAUGUCAUGAUACGUUUAAAUUCUUAAAAUGAAAUAUAAGUAUUCAAAAGUUUGUUCCUAUAAGUUAUUUUAACUUUUUUGUGUUUUAAUUUAACGAAUGAAAAAAUUAUAUUACUAUGUAAAUACAAUUUUAUCUAAUUAAAUUAAUGUAAAAUAAAUUAUAUGUUAUGUUAAACUUCAAUGACCUUUUUAAUUAGUUAUUAUCCAUA